GACACUGUUUGAUAAAUGUUUUGGACUCUUCUACCCCUAACGUUAUUAUGCUACCAAAAUACUAAUAAUCUUUUGUAAUUUUUUAUAGUUUUAGUAAAAAUUUAAUUUCACAACAUAUCUCGAACGAAAUCAUUUUUCCUAUUCCCAUGUCAAAGAUAUUAAUUAUUUUUUGUAUUACACUCACCUCUUUCCUCUACUAAACUUGUUUUAAUUUUCAAAACCCUCUAUCUCUGCAAAUCCGUACUCUCUCUUCCUUAUACCCAGCUUGAUACUUUGUAAUUGUUGUGUCAUAUUACUGAUUUUCAAAAGGUUUAAUGGAUUUUUCUGAAUAAGAAACCCCCACCUUCUCCCUCCUCUUCCUCGAGCUCGCGGUGGCGCGUGUAUUCACGCUCCUCAAUCUCUGCCCCAACGCGCAGGCUCGACUCCAUUUGUUUCUCGAGAAGCUCGUAGGGAGGAAUAAGCGUGAAGAGAUGGUAGAAGAAUAAGCAUCAUGGAGGCAAGAGAGAAAGAACAACAAUUUUUAUCUUGAAGAUUGGUAAUGUCCACUGAAAAAAACGCUAUGGAUUGUAUUCUUUUUUGCCUAGUCUUUAAUUUUUUUUUGGUCAAAACUCACUCUUUAAUUUUUUUUCCAACUAUUUACUUUGAUUGCUUUGUAUUUUCUUACUUGAUUGUUUUCUUGCUUUAGUAGAUUUUCGAUGAAAGUUUUGAUGUAGUGGUGUGGUGUCUAACGUUCCAAUAAAUGUUUUUUUCUUUGUUAUAUCAAUUGGUGUUUGCCCCUUGAUAUUAACUCAAGUUGACCCGCCAACUGUACCGGAUGCUGAUUCUACAACAGAGAAACAUGAUGAGGGACUCAAAAUUCUAUAAGCCUCAAUCUUAGUUUCCCAUUCUUCUGCUGGCAAAGAUUUUUUUAUUAUGUUGGAUCUGAUGUAGUCUAUUCUCAGCCAAAUGAAAAUGGUCAAGCAUGUGCUACGAUUUUUGGAAGGCAAGUUACCGUGACAAAGGGGAAUCUAACGAGUGAUUGGCUUGAUAGUGUUUGCUCUUGUUGGAUAGACAUUUACAUUUUUUCGAGACAAUACAAAUUUUAGCCGGAUAUUAUUUUAUAUGCCAAGACCAGUUGACAAAACCGAUACAUAUAUGGUUUCAUUUAUACGGAUUAUAAAUAAAGAGAUUGUAAUGUAAA